rnacentral:rRNA from 1 species
UACGUAGGGGGCAAGCGUUGUCCGGAUUUAUUGGGCGUAAAGAGCGUGUAGGCGGCCAAACAGGUCAGCUGUGAAAACUCGAGGCUCAACCUCGAGACGUCGGUUGAAACCGUUUGGCUAGAGUCCGGAAGAGGAGAGUGGAAUUCCCGGUGUAGCGGUGAAAUGCGCAGAUAUCGGGAAGAACACCCGUAGCGGAAGGCGGCUCUCUGGGACGGUACUGACGCUGAGGCGGCGAAAGCGUGGGGAGCCAAACGGG